rnacentral:rRNA from 1 species
GACGAACGCUGGCGGCGUGCCUAACACAUGCAAGUCGAACGGGGUAGCCUCUUCGGAGACUACUUAGUGGCGAACGGGUGAGUAACGCGUGAGGAACCUGCCUCUCAGUGGGGGACAACAGUUGGAAACGACUGCUAAUACCGCAUAAUGUAGCGAGAUCGCAUGAUCAUGCUACCAAAGAUUUAUUGCUGAGAGAUGGCCUCGCGUCUGAUUAGAUAGUUGGUGGGGUAACGGCCUACCAAGUCGACGAUCAGUAGCCGGUCUGAGAGGAUGAACGGCCACAUUGGGACUGAGAUACGGCCCAGACUCCUACGUGAGGCAGCAGUGGGGAAUAUUGGGCAAUGGGGGAAACCCUGACCCAGCAACGCCGCGUGAAGGAAGAAGGCCUUCGGGUUGUAAACUUCUUUUACCAGGGACGAACAAAUGACGGUACCUGGAGAAAAAGCAACGGCUAACUACGUGCCAGCCGCCGCCGUAAAAC